rnacentral:rRNA from 1 species
GAUGAACGCUAGCGAUAGGCUUAACACACGCAAGUCGAGGGGCAGCACAAGGUAGCUUGCUAUCUGGGUGGCGACCGGCGCACGGGUGCGUAACGCGUAUGCAACUUGCCCUAUACAGGAGGAUAACCCGUCGAAAGACGGACUAAUACUGCGUAUGCUCACAACUUGGCAUCAAGUGGUGAGGAAAGAAAUUCGGUAUAGGAUAGGCAUGCGUCCCAUUAGCUUGUUGGUGAGGUAACGGCUCACCAAGGCAACGAUGGGUAGGGGGACUGAGAGGUUUAUCCCCCACACUGGUACUGAGACACGGACCAGACUCCUACGGGAGGCAGCAGUGAGGAAUAUUGGUCAAUGGGCGCGAGCCUGAACCAGCCAAGUCGCGUGAAGGAUGACUGUCUUAUGGAUUGUAAACUUCUUUUAUACGGGAAUAACAAGAGUCACGUGUGACUCCCUGCAUGUACCGUAUGAAUAAGCAUCGGCUAACUCCGUG